AGGCCGAUGGCGACCGGCGCACGGGUGAGUAACACGUAUCCAACCUGCCGUCUACUCUUGGACAGCCUUCUGAAAGGAAGAUUAAUACAAGAUGGCAUCAUGAGUCCGCAUGUUCACAUGAUUAAAGGUAUUCCGGUAGACGAUGGGGAUGCGUUCCAUUAGAUAGUAGGCGGGGUAACGGCCCACCUAGUCUUCGAUGGAUAGGGGUUCUGAGAGGAAGGUCCCCCACAUUGGAACUGAGACACGGUCCAAACUCCUACGGGAGGCAGCAGUGAGGAAUAUUGGUCAAUGGGCGAGAGCCUGAACCAGCCAAGUAGCGUGAAGGAUGACUGCCCUAUGGGUUGUAAACUUCUUUUAUAAAGGAAUAAAGUCGGGUAUGGAUACCCGUUUGCAUGUACUUUAUGAAUAAGGAUCGGCUAACUCCGUGCCAGCAGCCGCGGUAAUACGGAGGAUCCGAGCGUUAUCCGGAUUUAUUGGGUUUAAAGGGAGCGUAGAUGGAUGUUUAAGUCAGUUGUGAAAGUUUGCGGCUCAACCGUAAAAUUGCAGUUGAUACUGGAUAUCUUGAGUGCAGUUGAGGCAGGCGGAAUUCGUGGUGUAGCGGUGAAAUGCUUAGAUAUCACGAA
rnacentral:rRNA from 1 species